AUAGUAGCCUGACAGGCCAGACCCACAUCAAGAUGUUAGAUCUAGGAACUCACCAUUGGCAGGGCUCAAUCCGAGGGGCGGGAUCAACAGUUGUCUUUCAAAUUCCCUCUGAACGCAAUAGGAUAGCGCUCCACCCAACCAGAGCAACGCUGAAGGUAGCUGAGCU